rnacentral:rRNA from 1 species
CAAUAGCGUAUAUUAAAGUUGUUGCAGUUAAAAAGCUCGUAGUUGGAUUUGUGGCUGUCACGGGCGGCCUAUCACUUAGUGUUAGUGCUUGCCUGUGUCGCCAUCCUUGGGUGGAGCCCGUGUGGCAUUAGGUUGUCGUGCGGGGGAUGCCCAUCGUUUACUGUGAGAAAAUUAGAGUGUUCAAAGCAGGCUUAUGCCAUUGAAUAUGUUAGCAUGGAAUAAUAAGAUAGGACCUCGGUACUAUUUUGUUGGUUUGCGCACCGAGGUAAUGAUUAAUAGGGACAGUUGGGGGUAUUCGUAUUUCAUUGUCAGAGGUGAAAUUCUUGGAUUUCUGAAAGACGAACUACUGCGAAAGCAUUUGCCAAGGAUGUUUUCAUUAA